GACGAACGCUGGCGGCGUGGAUUAGGCAUGCAAGUCGGACGGUAGGGCUUUAUCGUAAGAUAGAAUUUGAGAGUGGCGAACGGGUGAGUAACACGUAGGAAUCUACCCUUAAGACGGGGACAACCCAGGGAAACUUGGGCUAAUACCGGAUGAGAGUGCGAGAGAUUGCAUUUAAAAGGAUGGCGAAAGUUGUCGCUUAGGGAUGAGCCUGCGGUCUAUUAGUUAGUUGGUGAGGUAAGAGCUCACCAAGGCGAUGAUAGAUAGGCGGCCUUAACGGGUGGUCGCCCACACUGGGAUUGAGAGACGGCCCAGACUCCUACGGGAGGCAGCAGUCGAGAAUAGUCUACAAUGGACGGAAGUCUGAUAGUGCGACGCCGCGUGAACGAAGAAUCCCUUCGGGGUGUAAAGUUCUUUUAUACGUGAGCAGUGCCCUUUAUAUGAAUAGUAUAGAGGGAGGGAUUUAAGCGUAUGAAUAAGCAACGGCUAACUCCGUGCCAGCAGCCGCGGUAAACA
rnacentral:rRNA from 1 species